rnacentral:rRNA from 1 species
UACGGAGGGUGCGAGCGUUGUCCGGAAUUAUUGGGCGUAAAGAGCUCGUAGGCGGUUUGUCGCGUCGACUGUGAAAACCCGAGGCUUAACCUCGGGCCUGCAGUCGAUACGGGCAGACUAGAGUUCGGUAGGGGAGACUGGAAUUCCUGGUGUAGCGGUGAAAUGCGCAGAUAUCAGGAGGAACACCGGUGGCGAAGGCGGGUCUCUGGGCCGAUACUGACGCUGAGGAGCGAAAGCGUGGGGAGCAAACAGG